GGGUGGGGAUUAGUGGCGAACGGGUGAGUAACACGUGGGCAAUCUGCCCUGCACUCUGGGACAAGCCCUGGAAACGGGGUCUAAUACCGGAUACUGAUCCUCGCGGGCAUCUGCGAGGUUCGAAAGCUCCGGCGGUGCAGGAUGAGCCCGCGGCCUAUCAGCUUGUUGGUGAGGUAAUGGCUCACCAAGGCGACGACGGGUAGCCGGCCUGAGAGGGCGACCGGCCACACUGGGACUGAGACACGGCCCAGACUCCUACGGGAGGCAGCAGUGGGGAAUAUUGCACAAUGGGCGAAAGCCUGAUGCAGCGACGCCGCGUGAGGGAUGACGGCCUUCGGGUUGUAAACCUCUUUCAGCAGGGAAGAAGCGAAAGUGACGGUACCUGCAGAAGAAGCGCCGGCUAACUACGUGCCAGCAGCCGCGGUAAUACGUAGGGCGCAAGCGUUGUCCGGAAUUAUUGGGCGUAAAGAGCUCGUAGGCGGCUUGUCACGUCGGUUGUGAAAGCCCGGGGCUUAACCCCGGGUCUGCAGUCGAUACGGGCAGGCUAGAGUUCGGUAGGGGAGAUCGGAAUUCCUGGUGUAGCGGUGAAAUGCGCAGAUAUCAGGAGGAACACCGGUGGCGAAGGCGGAUCUCUGGGCCGAUACUGACGCUGAGGAGCGAAAGCGUGGGGAGCGAACAGGAUUAGAUACCCUGGUAGUCCACGCCGUAAACGGUGGGCACUAGGUGUGGGCAACA
rnacentral:rRNA from 1 species